GGUUUUUCGCCAACUUCAUCACCGGGCUAUAGCCCGUCGUCCCCCGGGUACAGCCCAUCAUCUCCGGGAUACAGCCCCACCUCGCCUGGUUAUAGCCCAACCUCACCGGGCUAUAGCCCUACAUCUCCGGGUUACAGUCCCACCUCUCCAACUUACAGCCCAAGUUCACCCGGUUAUAGCCCAACAAGUCCUACCUACUCACCCACUUCACCUAGCUACUCCCCUACCUCACCAAGCUACUCACCCACAUCACCUAGCUACAGCCCUACAUCGCCAGCUUACAGCCCGACCUCUCCGGCUUACAGCCCGACCUCUCCUUCCUACAGCCCGACAUCACCAUCCUACAGCCCAACCUCACCCUCCUACAGCCCAACCUCACCCUCUUACAGCCCGACCUCUCCUUCCUACAGCCCAACAUCACCAUCCUACAGCCCGACCUCCCCUUCCUACAGCCCAACCUCCCCUGCUUACAGCCCAACUUCACCUGGGUACAGUCCUACUUCCCCAAGCUACAGUCCUACUUCUCCAAGUUACAGUCCCACCUCACCAAGUUACAACCCUUCAUCCGCUAAGUACAGCCCCUCGUUGGCUUAUUCUCCUAGUAGUCCAUACAGCCCUACAUCCCCCAACUAC
rnacentral:lncRNA from 1 species